UACGGAGGGUGCGAGCGUUGUCCGGAAUCAUUGGGCGUAAAGGGCGCGUAGGUGGCCCGCUCAGCGUGCGGUGAAAGCUCGGGGCUCAACCCCGAGUCGGCCGUGCGAACUGGUGGGCUGGAGCACUGUAGAGGCAGGCGGAAUUCCGGGUGUAGCGGUGGAAUGCGUAGAGAUCCGGAAGAACACCAAUGGCGAAGGCAGCUCUCUGGGACGGUACUGACACUGAGACGCGAAAGCGUGGGGAGCGAACAGG
rnacentral:rRNA from 1 species